UCCUCGGUAGCUCAGCGGUAGAGCAUUCGACUGUUAAUCGAAUGGUCGUAGGUUCGAUCCCUACCCGGGGAGCCA
rnacentral:tRNA from 3 species